rnacentral:rRNA from 1 species
ACAGGGUGACAGCCCCGUACACAAAAGCGCAUGUGCUGUGAGCUCGAUGAGUAGGGCGGGACACGUGGUAUCCUGUCUGAAUAUGGGGGGACCAUCCUCCAAGGCUAAAUACUCCUGACUGACCGAUAGUGAACCAGUACCGUGAGGGAAAGGCGAAAAGAACCCCGGCGAGGGGAGUGAAAAAGAACCUGAAACCGUGUACGUACAAGCAGUGGGAGCACCCUUUGGGGUGUGACUGCGUACCUUUUGUAUAAUGGGUCAGCGACUUAUAUUCUGUAGCAAGGUUAACCGAAUAGGGGAGCCGGAGGGAAACCGAGUCUUAAUUGGGCGUUAAGUUGCAGGGUAUAGACCCGAAACCCGGUGAUCUAGCCAUGGGCAGGUUGAAGGUUGGGUAACACUAACUGGAGGACCGAACCGACUAAUGUUGAAAAAUUAGCGGAUGACCUGUGGCUGGGGGUGAAAGGCCAAUCAAACCGGGAGAUAGCUGGUUCUCCCCGAAAGCUAUUUAGGUAGCGCCUCGUGAAUUCAUCUCCGGGGGUAGAGCACUGUUUCGGCUAGGGGGCCAUCCCGGCUUACCAACCCGAUGCAAACUGCGAAUACCGGAGAAUGUUAUCACGGGAGACACACGGCGGGUGCUAACGUCCGUCGUGAAGAGGGAAACAACCCAGACCGCCAGCUAAGGUCCCAAAGUCAUGGUUAAGUGGGAAACGAUGUGGGAAGGCCCAGACAGCCAGGAUGUUGGCUUAGAAGCAGCCAUCAUUUAAAGAAAGCGUAAUAGCUCACUGGUCGAGUCGGCCUGCGCGGAAGAUGUAACGGGGCUAAACCAUGCACCGAAGCUGCGGCAGCGACGCUGAUGCGUUGUUGGGUAGGGGAGCGUUCUGUAAGCCUGCGAAGGUGGCCUGUGAGGGUUGCUGGAGGUAUCAGAAGUGCGAAUGCUGACAUAAGUAACGAUAAAGCGGGUGAAAAGCCCGCUCGCCGGAAGACCAAGGGUUCCUGUCCAACGUUAAUCGGGGCAGGGUGAGUCGACCCCUAAGGCGAGGCCGAAAGGCGUAGUCGAUGGGAAACGGGUUAAUAUUCCCGUACUUGGUGUUACUGCGAAGGGGGGACGGAGAAGGCUAUGUUGGCCGGGCGACGGUU